UGGAUAACAGAAUAAUAAACAAAAACAGAACAAUAUGUAUUCUCUGACCUUUCCCAAACAGUAAUUUGGGGAUGGCUCCAGAGAGUGAUGGUGAAUGGUGCUGCAUCCAGGUGGGGAUCAGCCACCAGCUGUGCUCCCCAAGGAUCUGUGUUGGGCCCAGUCCUGUUUAGUACCUCUUCUGAUGACCUGAAUGAGGGAACUGAGUCUGCCACACUAAGUUAGCAGAAGACCCUCUGGAUUUCACAAAAAUAAGUCUGCCUACAAGUCAGAAGAUGAAUCAACAGUGGUACCAGCAGGCUUGGAAAGUAUAUAAACAUUUUCAA